rnacentral:lncRNA from 1 species
GCUACCACGGUGGCUAGUGACCAUGUCCAAAUGCUUCUCUCCCUCCUCCUCCUCCUAGCUCCGUCCUCCUCUAGUCCCCUUCUCACUCUCACAAAUGAGAGCAUUUGGUGGUGGGCUUGGUGGCCGGAGCUCACCCGCCGGAAUUGAAGAAGAAGGAGUGGAUUUAGGGUUUUGGGGUUGGCCGGUUGUGGAUUUGGGGCUGGGAUUUAAUGUUUGGGGUUGGUAUGCCGGCGUUUGUAGAACAAUGGCUCGGGGAGGGGGGGGGGGGGGGGGGACGGGCGGCCCGGCGGUGGUUGCGGGUGGCGGGCGGGAGGUGAGACGGCGAGGGAGCCGCCGAUCGGGCGGUGGUGGACAUCGGUGGUGAGGGCCAGUGGCAGGGGCGAUGGACGGAGUGGUUCGGAAGGGUGGGGCUGAGAGCGGUUGGCGGGAGGUGGGCGGUCGGCACGGCGGCGAGGUCGCCGCCUGCCACGAGGGAAGCAGGCGGUUGAGGCAGCGGAGGAGGAAGACGAUGCAUUUGUCGUUUUGCUGUCAGUAAUUGACCGUAAGUUUUGAAACUCACGGGAGUGUGAUCCGAUCCGAUCCGAUCGAUCCGUGAGAAGAAGCAGCGGUGAUGAACUGAUGAUCGAGCUCGACGGUGGCUUUGCGCGGCUAGUAUAUCAUAGUAUAGUUAGAAAUAAUUCAUUAAUUAGAUCACAGGCAGAUCUCCGUGACCCCUUUAUGCCCAACAAAUGAUUACUUAUACUACUAGUAGCUAGCUGAUCACCUGCUGGUAUCUGCUGAGAUAUGCAUAUAUGAUGACACCACUGACUGAAGAGGAACCAAGAUGGCAAGAUCAAGCACUCAUGUUAUGUAAGGCAUCAUAUCUUAUCAUGGAGGCGCACGCAGCUGGACGCUCGCCACGUACUACGUGCCACUCACUUUCACUGCCACAACAAAAACGAUUCGACGCACUACGUACGUGGUGAUCGAUCGGCACGGUGUCCUCGUGCGUCAGUGCGUUCGUGCGUGCUUAUCCUCUUGGCGUCGCCGUCGCUCUCAUCACGGACAUAAAAGCAGUGGAAACCAUGGAUGCUUUGUUUCCACCCCAAGUUGGAGGGGAUGAUGGAUUCCAUCUAUCGGCAAACAGAGGAUACGGAUGCGGACGCGCUGAUUCCAUCCCCACCUGCGUGUGCAGCCUCAGAGUAAUUAACCAGAGGAGACAGAUAAGGC